rnacentral:rRNA from 1 species
AGAGUUUGAUCCUGGCUCAGGACGAACGCUGGCGGCGUGCUUAACACAUGCAAGUCGAGCGAGAAACCUUCGGGUUUCUAGCGGCGGACGGGUGAGUAACACGUGGGUAACCUGCCUCAAAGUGGGGGAUAGCCUUCCGAAAGGAAGAUUAAUACCGCAUAACAUUGUAGCUUCGCAUGAAGUAGCAAUUAAAGGAGUAAUCCGCUUUGGGAUGGACCCGCGGCGCAUUAGCUAGUUGGAGAGGUAACGGCUCACCAAGGCAACGAUGCGUAGCCGACCUGAGAGGGUGAUCGGCCACAUUGGAACUGAGACACGGCCCAAACUCCUACGGGAGGCAGCAGUAGGGAAUCUUCGGCAAUGGACGAAAGUCUGACCGAGCAACGCCGCGUGAGUGAAGAAGGUUUUCGGAUCGUAAAACUCUGUUGUUAGAGAAGAAUGUUGAUUAGAGUGGAAAAUUAAUCAAGUGACGGUAUCUAACCAGAAAGGGACGGCUAACUACGUGCCAGCAGCCGCGGUAAUACGUAGGUCCCGAGCGUUGUCCGGAUUUAUUGGGCGUAAAGCGAGCGCAGGUGGUUUAUUAAGUCUGGUGUAAAAGGCAGUGGCUCAACCAUUGUAUGCAUUGGAAACUGGUAGACUUGAGUGCAGGAGAGGAGAGUGGAAUUCCAUGUGUAGCGGUGAAAUGCGUAGAUAUAUGGAGGAACACCGGUGGCGAAAGCGGCUCUCUGGCCUGUAACUGACACUGAGGCUCGAAAGCGUGGGGAGCAAACAGGAUUAGAUACCCUGGUAGUCCACGCCGUAAACGAUGAGUGCUAGAUAUAGGGAGCUAUAAGUUCUCUGUAUCGCAGCUAACGCAAUAAGCACUCCGCCUGGGGAGUACGACCGCAAGGUUGAAACUCAAAGGAAUUGACGG